rnacentral:rRNA from 1 species
CCGCGUGCGGGAAGAAGGCCUUCGGGUUGUCAACCCGCUUUUAGUCGGGAAGAAAAGGCGCCGGAUAACACCCGGCGUUCUUGACGGUACCGGCGGAAUAAGCACCGGCUAACUACGUGCCAGCAGCCGCGGUAAUACGUAGGGUGCGAGCGUUAAUCGGAAUUACUGGGCGUUAAAGCGUGCGCAGCCGGUUCGUUAAAGUUUGCGGUGAAAGCCCCGGGCUCAACCUGGGAAUGGCCGUGGAAACUGGCGGGCUGGAGUGCGGCAGAGGGGGGUGGAAUUCCGCGUGUAGCAGUGAAAUGCGUAGAGAUGCGGAAGGAACACCGAUGGCGAAGGCAGCCCCCUGGGCCGACACUGACGCUCAGGCACGAAAGCGUGGGGAGCAAACAGGAUUAGAUACCCUGGUAGUCCACGCCCUAAACGAUGCUCACUAGGUGUUGGGGAAGCGAUUCCUUGGUACCGUAGCUAACGCGUGAAGUGAGCCGCCUGGGGAGUACGGCCGCAAGGUUAAAACUCAAAUGAAUUGACGG